rnacentral:rRNA from 1 species
UACGGAGGGAGCUAGCGUUAUUCGGAAUUACUGGGCGUAAAGCGCACGUAGGCGGCUUUGUAAGUAAGAGGUGAAAGCCCAGAGCUCAACUCUGGAAUUGCCUUUUAGACUGCAUCGCUUGAAUCAUGGAGAGGUCAGUGGAAUUCCGAGUGUAGAGGUGAAAUUCCGUAGAUAUUCGGAAGAACACCAGUGGCGAAGGCGGCGACCUGGUCCUUUUACUUGACGCUGAGGCGCGAAAGCGUGGGAGCA